UUGCACAAUGGGCGCAAGCCUGAUGCAGCCAUGCCGCGUGUAUGAAGAAGGCCUUCGGGUUGUAAAGUACUUUCAGCAGUGAGGAAGGUGGAUAUGUUAAUAGCAUAUUCAUUUGACGUUAGCUGCAGAAGAAGCACCGGCUAACUCCGUGCCAGCAGCCGCGGUAAUACGGAGGGUGCGAGCGUUAAUCGGAAUUACUGGGCGUAAAGCGCAUGCAGGUGGUUUGUUAAGUCAGAUGUGAAAGCCCGGGGCUCAACCUCGGAAUUGCAUUUGAAACUGGCAAACUAGAGUACUGUAGAGGGGGUAGAAUUUCAGGUGUAGCGGUGAAAUGCGUAGAGAUCUGAAGGAAUACCGGUGGCGAAGGCGGCCCCCUGGACAGAUACUGACACUCAGAUGCGAAAGCGUGGGGAGCAAACAGGAUUAGAUACCCUGGUAG
rnacentral:rRNA from 1 species